GGAGAGGUGGCUGAGUGGCUGAAAGCGCUCCCCUGCUAAGGGAGUAUGGGAGAAAUUCCAUCGAGGGUUCGAAUCCCUCCCCCUCCG
rnacentral:tRNA from 1 species